CACACAGCGGGUGUGACUGGUCUGCAGGGGAUGCUCACUCCUCCAUGGCACCUGAUCCCACCUCUGAUGUUUUGGAGAUCAUUUUCUUGAGAUAGGUGGAACCAACAGUCAAAUACAGACACUUUUAAGAAAAGUAAAAGUCUGGCUCAGGUAAGAAAGAAAUUCAUGAGUUCUUAAAUUGCCCUUGGAGUUCUUGGAUUGCAUCAAACUGCUAAAAGACCUCAACAAAAACAGUGUCUUGAAAAUAAAAAUGAAAAUAUUCAGUGAAAAAAAAAAUGAUGAAAGAGCCACUAAAAAUCUUCAAGCCUUUGAGCUGAAAUCUGGAAGUCAAUCUGUGGACUUUACUCGUAUGUCAUAAUUACCAAGUCAUCAUUUGUAUAUAAUAAAUACACUAAACUGUAAACACUUGUUAAAAUGUGUAUGAUUUUUAGAUAUAAUUUGUAGCUCACAGACUUCAAUAGUUUCAUGUAAUUUAAGUAAUAAUGAAAAUUUCCUGUUGUCUAGCUAGAUUAGAAACUAUUAUUGUCCAAUUUUGGAUAUUGUGAAAUAAUUCAUCUAGUAUGCAU